UACGGGGGGGGGCAAGCGUUGUUCGGAAUUACUGGGCGUAAAGGGCUCGUAGGCGGCCAACUAAGUCGGACGUGAAAUCCCUCGGCUUAACCGGGGAACUGCGUCCGAUACUGGAUGGCUUGAGUUUGGGAGAGGGAUGCGGAAUUCCAGGUGUAGCGGUGAAAUGCGUAGAUAUCAGGAGGAACACCAAUGGCGAAGGCAGCUCGCUGGAACGGUACUGACGCUGAGGCGCGAAAGCGUGGGGAGCGAACAGG
rnacentral:rRNA from 1 species